rnacentral:misc_RNA from 1 species
GAUGAAGAACGCAGCGAACGUGCGAAACGUAAUGUGAAAUGCAGAAUUCAGUGAAUCAUCGAAUCUUUGAACGCAUCUUGCGCUCCUUGGUAUUCCGAGGAGCAUGCCUGUUUGAGUGUCGUGAAUACUCUCAACUUCAACCCUUUUUUCGGAAAGGGAGGAAGGUUGGACUUGGGUGUUUGUUGAAGUGCGAGCUUCGACUCAUCCUAAAUGCAUUAGCGAUCUGCCUCGAUCACACACAAUGUGAUAAUUAAAACUAAAGCAUUGUUUAAUGAUCAAGUCGAGACUGCUUCUAACUGUCGCAAGACAAUAACGUGCAUACAUUUGUGCAUGUCAUUUGACCUCAAAUCAGGUAGGACUACCCGCUGAACUUAAGCAUAUCAAUAAGCGGAGGA